rnacentral:rRNA from 1 species
GAUGAACGCUGGCGGCGUGCUUAACACAUGCAAGUCGAACGGAAAGGCCCAAGCUUGCUUGGGUGCUCGAGUGGCGAACGGGUGAGUAACACGUGGGUGAUCUGCCCUGCACUUUGGGAUAAGCCUGGGAAACUGGGUCUAAUACCGGAUAGGACCAUCGUUUAGUGUCGGUGGUGGAAAGUUUUUCGGUGUGGGAUGAGCUCGCGGCCUAUCAGCUUGUUGGUGGGGUAAUGGCCUACCGAGGCGUCGACGGGUAGCCGGCCUGAGAGGGUGUACGGCCACAUUGGGACUGAGAUACGGCCCAGACUCCUACGGGAGGCAGCAGUGGGGAAUAUUGCACAAUGGGCGCAAGCCUGAUGCAGCGACGCCGCGUGGGGGAUGACGGCCUUCGGGUUGUAAACUCCUUUCGCCAAGGACGAAGCGUUUUGUGACGGUACUUGGAGAAGAAGCACCGGCUAACUACGUG